GGUGAGUAACACGUGGAUAACCUACCUAUAAGACUGGGAUAACUUCGGGAAACCGGAGCUAAUACCGGAUAAUAUAUUGAACCGCAUGGUUCAAUAGUGAAAGACGGUUUUGCUGUCACUUAUAGAUGGAUCCGCGCCGCAUUAGCUAGUUGGUAAGGUAACGGCAUACCAAGGCAACGAUGCGUAGCCGACCUGAGAGGGUGAUCGGCCACACUGGAACUGAGACACGGUCCAG
rnacentral:rRNA from 1 species